rfam:Glycine soja cultivar W05 scaffold3965_12, whole genome shotgun sequence.
AUCUGGUGGUGAGGACAACUGGCACAUAGUUUCUUGAAUCUCUCCUAGUAUUCAUAUAAGCUCUCUUCACUGAGUUGCAAAAUUCCUGAAAUAUCUUUUUUGAUGGU